ACACGCUUUAUUCGGAAUAAAAACGUUCACAUUCACACGCUUUAUUCGGAAUAAAAACGUUCACGUACACGCUUUAUUCGGAAUAAAAACGUUCGCGUACACGCUUUAUUCGGAAUAAAAACGUUCACAUUCAUACGCUUUAUUCGGAAUAAAAACGUUCACGUACAUUAGAAUAAAGAUUGAGGCCAGCGUAAUGAUGGUUAUAUAAAAUUGAUCAUAUGAAUUCUAUUCGUUGACGAAUAGUCUGAUUACUUCAUGUCUGAUUAGUUUCAUGGUUGGAAUUUGUGUGGGCGUCCUGCUCAUGUGCUUUAGCGUCUCAAAGCGCCCCUUGUGCAGUAAAGCCGUCCUGUGAGAAAACACGACUCCUGUGAGAGAUCUGAUUUUGUCUAAUCUGUGAGGAGGGAUUGGUAUCAGAUGAACAUAAAGUAGAAUACGUGUUAUUCAUUGAGGAUGCUGAAGUGGACAGAUCUUUAAAUUUGAAGUGUUGUGCUGACACAACAGAUGCGUUUGGCUGAUGUAACGGAAAGGUCAUGGGUCAGACCUCCGGCGCAUCAGCUGUGUUCCAAAACUGACUCAUGGGUGUGGACAAGACCUAGGGGUUAUUGCCUCUAAAAUGCCCUCAGGUGGAGAUUUUAAUACUGGAGCAUCACCCUGAUGAAACAGACUUGUCUUUUUAUCAUCUUUAUCGACACCGCGGAGAUGCUGAUCUCUGGUCGAGCCCAGAAAUGAGCGUGUCUAGGCGGUAUCGUAGUGGAGCUUUUCCUACAAAUCAAAACGAAAAGAAGUCAUUUCUGACCGUGAUGUCACUCAGUAGCCGACUCCGGAUGACGCGUGCUCGCGGUUCUCCGCGAAUAGACCCCGGGGUCGUGUUAACAGCCGUUUUCUGACCGUAUCGCCUCGAGAAAACCCGAGCUCGCUCUUUAUUUCGUUCUCUCCAUCGCUCUCUUCAUCAACGUAACUCCAUUAACGUUUCUGUUUCUACGACAAAAACUCCGACACUAUUCCGCCGUUCCAGCUAUCUAUCGAACUAUAGACCGGUUGUCAUUUGGGUGUUCGUAAUGACGUAAACAGGGAGCUCGGUCUUGCGGCUCGAUCCCACGACGCAACGUAACAUUGAAUCACGGAGCCCUUUGUCAAAGUCAAGUCACACGGCAUUGUCGUUUCAACAUAGGGCUGCACUAUUAAUCGAAUAUCGAUCUCGAUUAGGAUUUUGACCGCCCACAAUUACACGAACACGAUCGACUGCGAUAUUGAUGUUUAAAGUUCGUCCUCCGCUCAUAGAAAACUUCGGCGCAGGGAUGACGUCGUUUUGUGCGCUGAAACCCGGCAACGAGUUAGCGUUUCAGCGCUUCCGAGUCCAUCCCAACGUCAAUGACUUGGUCAGUGAGGGAUUUUGGUUAAAGGCCUGAAAUAAGGUCUGUGGUGAACACAAGCUCAAAAUUAGGGCUGCAACUAACGAUUAUUUUGAGAAUCGUUUAGUCGGCCGAUUAUUUUUCCGAUUAAUCGGGUGGGGGCGGGGCAAACUUUCAGAGCCCUUUUUUUAAAAUAAAAUCCGCAAACUGAGUGUUACAAAUAUAAAUUCAGACUAAAACUUUACACAACUGUUUGUCCAAAACAGAAAAGAACCCAAUACACACACACACACACACACCCCAGAAUAUAUGUUAAUAAUUUAGGACUGUAGUUUAAUUCGGUGCUUUUUGUACAUCCAUAAAAUAAUGAUGCAUAAGUACUAUAAAGUAAAUUGUUUGUGUAUAUAUGUGUGUGUGUAUAUGUGUGUGUG
ensembl:lncRNA